rnacentral:tRNA from 1 species
GCAUCAUUAGUAUAUUGGUAGUAUAACAGACUUCCAAUCUGUGGGAACGGGUUCGAAUCCCGUAUGAUGCU